AUACGUAGGUGACAAGCGUUAUCCGGAUUUACUGGGCGUAAAGGGCGUGUAGGCGGUCUUGCAAGUCAGAAGUGAAAUUCCUGAGCUCAACUCGGGCGCUGCUUCUGAAACUGCAGGACUUGAGUGCUGGAGGGGAUAGCGGAAUUCCUAGUGGAGCGGUAAAAUGCGCAGAUAUUAGGAAGAACACCGGUGGCGAAGGCGGCUAGCUGGACAGUAACUGACGCUGAGGCGCGAAAGCGUGGGGAGCAAACAGGAUUAGAUACCCUGGUCGUCCACGCCGUAAACGAUGAAUACUAGGUGUAGGGGGUAUCGACUCCCUCUGUGCCGCAGUUAACACAAUAAGUAUUCCGCCUGGGGAGUACGGCCGCAAGGUUGAAACUCAAAUGAAUUGACGGGG
rnacentral:rRNA from 1 species